GUACACGCUGUGACUAGCAUAUCAAUAAGCGGAGGAAAAGAAACUAACAAGGAUUCCCCUAGUAACGGCGAGUGAAGCGGGAAGAGCUCAAAUUUGAAAUCUUAAAGGGUUUCCCUUUACGAAUUGUAGUUUAAAGAAGUGUUUCUCUGUUGAGGUUUUGGUAAAAGUUCUUUGGAAUAGGACAUCAUAGAGGGUGAGAAUCCCGUAUUUGACCUUUACUUUCAACUUUGUGAUACACUUUCAAAGAGUCGGAUUGUUUGGGAAUGCAGUCCAAAAUGGGUGGUAAAUUUCAUCUAAAGCUAAAUAUUGGCGAGAGACCGAUAGCGAACAAGUACCGUGAGGGAAAGAUGAAAAGAACUUUGAAAAGAGAGUUAAAUAGUACGUGAAAUUGUCAAAAGGGAAGCGUUUGACACUAGUGUUGUUUUUCUGAAAAUCAAUUAAAGAACUGUUUAUGCUAAGCUGUUUAGACUUUAUCAGCUAAUCUGUUUAGUUUUGAGCUUUUCUUUAAUGCACUUUUCAGUUAACAAGUCAACAUCAAUUUCUUUUGCUGUAAAAAAGCUUGAGGAAGGUGGCUUGAGAUUCGUCUUAAGUGUUUAUAGCCUCUUGCCUAUGCAGUCGGAGAGAUUGAGGUCUGCAGCGUAGAUCCUUCGGGGCUAAAUGCAUUUGUGCUAAGUUAUAACAUUUUAUAGACAACUUGUUGACUAUGAUUUGUCUUGUAGCUUACUCGCUUAUGUUAUUUUACCUACGCUUAGGAUGUUGACGCGCGUGUGUGCGUG
rnacentral:rRNA from 1 species